GACCCCAGGUUGGGUCCCUCUUCCCAAGGGGCUGAGUCUGGGCCUGAGAGCCCUGCUCUGGGAGUCCCCCUUGUACUCUUCACUGAAGCUGGGCACUGGCAAGGCCCUGCCUUAGCCCUGGGCAGCUCCUGUCUGCUGAGGACCCGUGCGGGCAGCCACAGGCAGGAUGAGGGGGUGGCCCAGAGCUGGUGGAGCCUGGACAGGCCCAACCCCAGGCCAAGGCCAUGGCCAGUGGCCCUCAGGACGGACAUGUCUCCUACUGCCCCCUGGCCAGGCCUCCAGGGCACAGUCGAGGCCCAGGACUGACUCGGGCCACCCUAGAGGGGUCCUGAGGCCCCAGGCUCCGCUUUCCCUGGCGGGCCCAGCUGCCGGGUGGUCUGGCCUGGCCUGAGGCUUCGCCCGCACUUCCCCUGGAGGCCGCUGGGUGGCAGCAGAGAUUGACUCUAGGUGGUGGCCACAGCCUCGGCCUCCCUCUGUGGGCCCUGGAGUCCUGGUGGAGAGUGCAGACCCCCUGGGGUCCCAGGUGCGGUGGGGAUGGGGCUCCCUCCACCAUGGGUCUGGCCCACUCUAGUGCCCCAGGGACCCUGCUCCUUCCUCUUCCCAGCUGGGCUGGGCGAGGUAUCCGCCUGGAGGGGAUCGAGGUGCUGUCCCCCAACGCAGGCAUGGCGCACAUCCUGGGGUGGACGUGGGUGAGAGGAGAACCCCACGGCCCCUGCCUCCUGGAGACCACGCGGUCACGGGGACUCAUCGUGGAUUUAAGGCACACAGGGCCCCAGGGGAGAAGGUGCAUGUGGGUUGACCCCAGGGCCUAUGGAAUCCUCUCAGCCUCAUCACUGGAUGCUGCCGUUGACAGGAGGACCCUGAAGGCCUCAGCUGCAGCUCUUGGCCACUUGGCCCCAGUGUGGACACUGUCUCUGCCCUGGAGAAUGUGGAGAGGACAAGAAGGAUCAGGCCCACGGCGGAUGGGAGCCCCAGCUCUCCACCAUGCUGUGGGGAGGGGUCAGCCUGGCAGGGUCUGCUGGGGAGCUGUGGCCAGGUGGGCUCCAAGCAGGGGACUGGGUGUGUGUGGCACCCCAGGGUGCUUUCCAUCUGAGUCUCCAGCGUAAGCAGCCCCGUGGUUAUACAAGUGACUGUGGUCCAUAAACAUUCCGGGAGGUGUAUCCGUCAGUCGGCAGUUCACGGCUGCUCUGUCACCCGAGGGCGUGAGCUACUCAGGGAACAGAAACACCAACCAA
rnacentral:lncRNA from 1 species